rnacentral:sRNA from 1 species
CGGCGCGGCGGGCCGGUCCCAUCCGGAAGAUGGAUCGGCUUCUGAGGGAGAGAAGGAAGGGAAUAAUGAAAGCCACAUGGUGUCACCACCAGAGAAGGAUGAUGGCCAGAAAGGUGAAGAAGCUGUCGGUAGCACAGAGCAUCCUGAAGAAGUCACAACCCAAGCGGAAGCUGCAAUUGAAGAGGGGGAGGUCCAGACAGAAGGGGAAGCAGCAGUGGAAGGGGAAGAGGAGGCUGUGUCCUAUGGAGAUGCUGAAAGCGAAGAGGAAUAUUACUAUACAGAAACUUCAUUCCCGGAAGGGCAAAUCAGUGCUACAGAUACAACUUACCCGUAUUUCAGUCCUCCUCAGGAACUGCCUGGAGAGGAGGCGUACGAUAGUGUUAGCGGGGAGGCUGGUCUCCAAGGCUCCCAGCAAGAGGCCACCGGUCCACCAGAAUCCAGAGAAGGGAGGGUCACCUCCCCAGAGCCAUUCCACGGAGUCUUAGGCCCGUCGGAGCAAAUGGGCCAGGUCACCUCUGGGCCAGCAGUGGGCAGAUUGACAGGAUCCACAGAGGAGCCCCAGGGGCAGGUGCUCCCAAUGGGCGCCCGGCACCGCUUCCGGCUGAGCCACGGGAGCGACAUGGAGUCCUCAGACCUGGAGGAGUUCGUCUCGCAGGAGCCAGGUGCCACCCACCCGCUGAGGUCACCCUGCCCUGGCGAUGAGCCACCUGCACA